rnacentral:rRNA from 1 species
AGUGAACGCUGGCGGUAGGCCUAACACAUGCAAGUCGAACGGCAGCACAGUAAGAGCUUGCUCUUACGGGUGGCGAGUGGUGGACGGGUGAGGAAUACAUCGGAAUCUACUUUUUCGUGGGGGAUAACGUAGGGAAACUUACGCUAAUACCGCAUACGACCUACGGGUGAAAGCAGGGGAUCUUCGGACCUUGCGCGAUUGAAUGAGCCGAUGUCGGAUUAGCUAGUUGGCGGGGUAAAGGCCCACCAAGGCGACGAUCCGUAGCUGGUCUGAGAGGAUGAUCAGCCACACUGGAACUGAGACACGGUCCAGACUCCUACGGGAGGCAGCAGUGGGGAAUAUUGGACAAUGGGCGCAAGCCUGAUCCAGCCAUACCGCGUGGGUGAAGAAGGCCCUCGGGUUGUAAAGCCCUUUUGUUGGGAAAGAAAAGCAGCAGGUUAAUACCCCGCUGUUCUGACGGUACCCAAAGAAUAAGCACCGGCUAACUUCGUG